rnacentral:ribozyme from 1 species
GUUCUACGAAAAAAGGCCACCUUCUCGUGGUGUAGGAUGUUAAGGUUAAAAGUCCUCAAUAUGAUAAUGACUGAUUUAACCGACCAAGAGCCUU